GGGGUCGUAGCGAAGACAGGCAUCGCAACGGGCUCCAGACCCGUGGAUCAGGGGUUCAAAUCCCUUCGACCCCACCA
rnacentral:tRNA from 1 species